UGAUUGAAGGGAGUUGCUCCUAGUACGAGAGGACCGGAGUGAACGAACCUCUGGUGUUCGGGUUGUCACGCCAGUGGCACUGCCCGGUAGCUAGGUUCGGAAUCGAUAACCGCUGAAAGCAUCUGGGCGAUGAAGGACGUACUAACCUGCGAUAAGCUGUGAGAAGUCGGUAAGAGACGCUAUUACUCACAGAUUUCCGAAUGGGGAAACCCACCCGAGAUAACUCGGGUAUCUGUUACUGAAUACAUAGGUAACAGAGGCGAACCGGGAGAACUGAAACAUCUAAGUACCCCGAGGAAAAGAAAUCAACCGAGAUUCCCUCAGUAGCGGCGAGCGAACGGGGAUUAGCCCUUAAGCAUCUUGGAAGUUAGUGGAACGGUCCUGGAAAGGCCGGCGAUACAGGGUGAUAGCCCCGUACACGAAAACAACCUUGAUGUGAAAUCGAGUAGGGCGGGACACGUGACAUCCUGUCUGAAUAUGGGGGGACCAUCCUCCAAGGCUAAAUACUCCUGACUGACCGAUAGUGAACCAGUACCGUGAGGGAAAGGCGAAAAGAACCCCUGUGAGGGGAGUGAAAUAGAACCUGAAACCGUGUACGUACAAGCAGUGGGAGCCCUUCGGGGUGACUGCGUACCUUUUGUAUAAUGGGUCAGCGACUUACAUUUUGUAGCGAGGUUAACCGUAUAGGGGAGCCGUAGGGAAACCGAGUCUUAACUGGGCGUCUAGUUGCAAGGUGUAGACCCGAAACCGGGUGAUCUAGCCAUGGGCAGGUUGAAGGUUGAGUAACAUCAACUGGAGGACCGAACCCACUAACGUUGCAAAGUUAGGGGAUGACCUGUGGCUGGGGGUGAAAGGCCAAUCAAACUCGGAGAUAGCUGGUUCUCCCCGAAAGCUAUUUAGGUAGCGCCUCGGACGAAUACUACUGGGGGUAGAGCACUGUUUGGGCUAGGGGGUCAUCCCGACUUACCAACCCCAUGCAAACUCCGAAUACCAGUAAGUAAUAUCCGGGAGACACACGGCGGGUGCUAACGUCCGUCGUGAAGAGGGAAACAACCCAGACCGCCGGCUAAGGUCCCAAAGUUCUGGUUAAGUGGGAAACGAUGUGGGAAGGCUCAGACAGCUAGGAUGUUGGCUUAGAAGCAGCCAUCAUUUAAAGAAAGCGUAAUAGCUCACUAGUCGAGUCGGCCUGCGCGGAAGAUGUAACGGGGCUCAAACCAGGCACCGAAGCCGCGGAUUCACACUUAUGUGUGAGUGGUAGGGGAGCGUUCUGUAAGUCUGCGAAGGUGUAUCGAGAGGUAUGCUGGAGAUAUCAGAAGUGCGAAUGCUGACGUAAGUAACGAUAAAGGGGGUGAAAAGCCUCCUCGCCGGAAGACCAAGGGUUCCUGUCCAACGUUAAUCGGGGCAGGGUGAGUCGACCCCUAAGGCGAGGCCGAAAGGCGUAGUCGAUGGGAAGCAGGUUAAUAUUCCUGCACGACUUGUAAUUGCGAUGGGGGGACGGAGAAGGCUAGGUGGGCCAGGCGACGGUUGUCCUGGUGAAAGUGCGUAGGUGGUGUUUCUAGGCAAAUCCGGAGACACAACACUGAGACACGAGACGAACACACUACGGUGUGGAAGCCAUUGAUGCCCUGCUUCCAGGAAAAGCCUCUAAGCUUCAGAUUACAAGUCAUCGUACCCCAAACCGACACAGGUGGUCGGGUAGAGAAUACCAAGGCGCUUGAGAGAACUCGGGUGAAGGAACUAGGCAAAAUAGAACCGUAACUUCGGGAGAAGGUUCGCUCUUGACAGUGAAGUCCCUUGCGGAUGGAGCAGUUGGGAGUCGCAGUGACCAGAUGGCUGGGACUGUUUAUCAAAAACACAGCACUCUGCAAACACGAAAGUGGACGUAUAGGGUGUGACACCUGCCCGGUGCCGGAAGGUUAAUUGAUGGGGUUAGCGCAAGCGAAGCUCUUGAUCGAAGCCCCGGUAAACGGCGGCCGUAACUAUAACGGUCCUAAGGUAGCGAAAUUCCUUGUCGGGUAAGUUCCGACCUGCACGAAUGGUGUAACCAUGGCCAUGCUGUCUCCACCCGAGACUCAGUGAAAUCGAAUUCGCCGUGAAGAUGCGGUGUACCCGCGGCUAGACGGAAAGACCCCGUGAACCUUUACUACAGCUUGGCACUGAACAUUGAACCUACAUGUGUAGGAUAGGUGGGAGGCUUUGAAGGCGUGACGCCAGUUGCGCUGGAGCCGUCCUUGAAAUACCACCCUUGUAUGUUUGAUGUUCUAACGCAGGGCCCUGAAUCGGGCUCGCGGACAGUGCCUGGUGGGUAGUUUGACUGGGGCGGUCUCCUCCCAAAGAGUAACGGAGGAGCACGAAGGUUGGCUAAUCCUGGUCGGACAUCAGGAGGUUAGUGCAAUGGCAUAAGCCAGCUUAACUGCGAGACGGACAGGUCGAGCAGGUACGAAAGUAGGUCAUAGUGAUCCGGUGGUUCUGAAUGGAAGGGCCAUCGCUCAACGGAUAAAAGGUACUCCGGGGAUAACAGGCUGAUACCGCCCAAGAGUUCAUAUCGACGGCGGUGUUUGGCACCUCGAUGUCGGCUCAUCACAUCCUGGGGCUGAAGUCGGUCCCAAGGGUAUGGCUGUUCGCCAUUUAAAGUGGUACGCGAGCUGGGUUCAGAACGUCGUGAGACAGUUCGGUCCCUAUCUGCCGUGGGCGUUGGAUGAUUGAAGGGAGUUGCUCCUAGUACGAGAGGACCGGAGUGAACGAACCUCUGGUGUUCGGGUUGUCACGCCAGUGGCACUGCCCGGUAGCUAAGUUCGGAAUCGAUAACCGCUGAAAGCAUCUAAGCUUCAGAUUACAAGUCAUCGUACCCCAAACCGACACAGGUGGUCGGGUAGAGAAUACCAAGGCGCUUGAGAGAACUCGGGUGAAGGAACUAGGCAAAAU
rnacentral:rRNA from 1 species